GUCAUGUUCGCGUUUGCACCAUAUGGAGAUUAUUGGCGUGAAAUGCGCAAGAUAAUAUCCGUGGAACUAUUCUGUAGUCGCCAGAUUGAGUUACGCAAGCACGUUAUAGAAUCUGAAGUUGAAACGUCCAUAAAAGAGCUCCACAAAUUCUGGACGGAGAAAGAGAAUGGCUCAGGCCACGUUUCAGUUGAGUUGAAACAAUGGUUCGGUGACUUAGGUCUUAACGUGAUUCUUAGAAUAAUUGUGGGGAUGAGGCACUUUGGUGCUACUGCUGGGAGUGAUAGAAAAGAAGUGGACCGGUGCCGUAAGGCGAUGAGAGAAUUCUUCGAUUUUCUGGGCCUGUUUGUUUUGAGGGAUGCAAUACCUUUUCUUGGUUGGCUGGACGUGGGUGGACAUGAGAAGUGCAUGAAAAAAGCUGCUAAAGAACUUGACGAGCUUGUCAGUGAAUGGUUAGAGGAGCAUCGCAAGAAGAGGGAUUCUGGUGACUUGGCUAAAAAAGAACAAGACUUCAUGGAUGUCAUGCUUUCGGUUCUUGAAGAAACUCAAUUUGUAGGUUACGACUCUGAUAUGAUCAACAAGUCUGCAUGUUUGAAUUUAAUUGCGGGGGGCAGUGAUACCACUACAAUUGUCCUGACAUGGAUAGUUUCAUUACUGCUGAACAACAGGCACGUAUUGAAGAAAGCACAAGAAGAAUUAGACAUGCUGGUUGGCAGAGAAAGACUAGUGAAUGAAUCAGAUAUUAGUAAAUUAAUUUAUCUCCAAGCAAUAAUCAAAGAAACACUGCGAUUGUAUCCACCAGCUCCAUUGUCAGGACCUCGAGAAAUUAUAGAGGAUUGCACCAUCAGUGGCUACCAUGUAAAGAAAGGAACUAGGCUGAUUCCAAACCUUUGGAAGAUCCACACAGACCCACGCAUAUGGCCAAAUCCAUUGGAGUUUAAGCCAGAGAGAUUUCUUACUAGCCAUAAGCACAUUGACGUUAAGGGACAAAAUUUCGAAUUGAUCCCAUUCGGAAGUGGUAGAAGAGCAUGCCCUGGAACAUCAUUUGGCCUUCCAACGGUACACAUAGCAUUGGCUAGCUUUCUACAAGCUUUUGAGAUAUUAAAUCCUACAAGUGGACCUAUUGACAUGACUGAGAGUCCUGGAUUAACGAACAUCAAAGCCACCCCACUUGAAAUUUUGGUUUCGCCACGCCUGCCUCUUGAGCUUUACAACAUACAAUGAAUAUUAGUGCAG
rnacentral:misc_RNA from 1 species